rnacentral:rRNA from 1 species
UGCGUCUGGUGGGCCGGCGGGCGCGGAAAUACGGUGUGGGGUGGCGUUGGCAGGACUGAUUGGGCUGAAAGGGCUGGUGGGGGGGCGGUGGCGUCGGCCGUGAAAAUCCGGGGCGCAACCCCGGACGUGCGGUGGGUACGGGCAGACGAGAGUGUGGUAGGGGAGACUGGAAUUCCUGGUGUAGCGGUGAAAUGCGCAGAUAUCAGGAGGAACACCGAUGGCGAAGGCAGGUCUCUGGGCCACUACUGACGCUGAGAAGCGAAAGCGUGGGGAGCGAACAGGAUUAGAUACCCUGGUAGUC